AUUGAACGCUGGCGGCAGGCCUAACACAUGCAAGUCGAACGAGUGGCGGACGGGUGAGUAAUAUCUGGGAAACUGCCUGAUGGAGGGGGAUAACUACUGGAAAAGGUAGCUAAUACCGCAUACCAUCAGAUGUGCCCAGAGUGGAUUAGCUUGGGGGGGGGGAAACGGGUCACCAAGGCAACGAUCCCUAGCUGGUCUGAGAGGAUGACCAGCCACACUGGAACUGAGACACGGUCCAGAUUCCGACGGGAGGCAGCAGUGGGGAAUAUUGCACACGGGGCGCAAGCCUGAUGCAGCCAUGCCGCGUGUAUGAAGAAGGCCUUCGGGUUGUAAAGUACUUUUAGCUGGGAGGCGUUACCCGCAGAAGAAGCACCGGCUAACUCCGUGCCAGCAGCCGCGGUAAUAC
rnacentral:rRNA from 1 species